CUCUCGCCGUCUCCAAUGCCCGAACUCGAAACCACUCCAAACCCUAACCCUAGCGCACCCUCUCUCUGCGAGGAGUGCGGCUUGAAUCCAUGGAAGUACCGUUGCCCCGGCUGCUCCAUCCGCACCUGCGCCCUUCCCUGCGUCAAGGCACACAAGCAGCGCACCUCCUGCACUGGAAAGCGGAGCCGUGCUGAGCCCAUCCCAAUCUCCCAAUUCAAUGAUGAUCUCCUUCUCUCUGAUUACAAGUUUUUGGAGGAGGGAAAGAGAGUGGCGGAUUCGGCACGGCGGACGAUCUCUGGGCUCGUUGGAAACAUUGGUUUUCAUCUUCCAACCAGACUUAAGAUUCUGCGGAAUGCCGCCCGUCGUCGGAGGACACAAGUUCUAUUUCUAUCUCAGAAAAUGGCUAAGAGUGAGAGGAACCGAUCGAGAUAUGAUAUAAGGAAAAAUACUAUAUUUUGGACUAUUGAAUGGAGAUUUAAUGGGACAGAUGUAAGCUUGAUAGACCAUGGUGCUGAUGAAUAUACAAACUUGCACUCUUUGCUUGAGAAACAUUUGAAGCCUAGUCCAUGGAAUCAUCCAUUGAAGCCAUAUUGUGAUAUACCACCGGAGGAUUUGAAGAUUUUCAUUCAGAAAACUCCAAAAGGUUCCAAGUCACCAUUCCGCAUGUUGAGCGUAAAGGCUCCUUUUGGUCAACAAAUGGCAAAUAUUGUUCUUGUGGAGCAUCCGAUCAUCCAUGUUUAUCUACCUUCACAUAAUUAUGAUUUUGAUAUCGAUAAUGAUUUAGAGUUAUUAUCCCAUUCCAAGACUGAUGAUCCUCCAGGUUCCUCUGAUGGUAUCCCCAACUCAAAGAGCUUGUACUUUAGGGAGGAGCAAAUAGAAGAAGGCGAGUUGUCUUCUUUUACAAAGGUUACAGAUCUUAUGGACCAUUCAAGGUCUAGACAGUCUGAUAAAUUUCACCACAAGAAGAAUGCUGCAGUAAAUGAAAAGACAAGUGAUCAGUUUUAUGCACUUAUGUCAAAGCCAGAUACCAUAGAUCUGAAAUCUGCUUCUGGCGAAGGGUGCAAUGCAUCUGUGAUCAAGGAUAGAAAUACAGAUUCAAAUUCUGGUGCAAACCAUACGAGACUUUCAAAUGAUGUGAAAUUUGAGUUUGAACAGGAGCUUAAAGAUGCGUAUUCAGACUUGGUUGGGGAAAUAAAUCCUGAUGACUUUCUAUGCUUUGACGGGGUGUACAGUGAUGAGUAUGAACUAGAAGAACAAAGAGCCAAUUUGUUGAUUCUUGAUGGGAGGUUCUUGGGGGAGGAUCAAUUGGAGGAGGGCGAAAUCCCAGGUUAUUGAAGAUAAUCAUCACUCUAUAUAAUAGCUUUAUUAAGUUUUUUUGCUUCAAUUAAGCUACACUGAUACUACAACAGAAAUAUGAAGUUAAACAUGUCACACUAGUCUUCUCUAUAUUCCAUCAAUCAUCCGUAUAUUUUCCAAAUCAAAAUCAUUAUACAACAAAGAGGGGAAGACAUUUCUAUAUGACAGGGAUCCAUGAGAAGCAGAUUUGAUUGGAUGAUACUGAUUGAUCAAGCAUUGAAACAGUUGGUAAACUGAAAGGCUAUUCCUCCAUCAUCCGAACAGAACUGAGUCAUUGAGAGCAUGAUGUUCCUUGCCGUGUGUCGGCAUAUGGAUAGAAAGCAACAAUCUCAAGUGUGUCCCCAGAGCUAGUCCCUUUACCACUCAAAAGGAAUCUUCUCCAUCUUUCAAAGAGAAUCCUUCAAAGGACCACACCAUUGUUAUUUCUCCUUAUCCUUUGAGCUUUGUGUGGAUCAUAUCCUGGAAAGAACAUUUAGUGGAAGUGCGUGUAAACUGAUCGAUUGGUGGAUAUGUUUCUUCUUCAAUGGAUAGUUUUGAUUUUUGUGUCCA